rnacentral:rRNA from 1 species
AGCGAACGCUGGCGGCAGGCCUAACACAUGCAAGUCGAACGAACUCUUCGGAGUUAGUGGCGGACGGGUGAGUAACACGUGGGAACGUGCCUUUUGGUUCGGAAUAACUCAGGGAAACUUGUGCUAAUACCGAAUGUGCCCCUCGGGGGAAAGAUUUAUCGCCAUUAGAGCGGCCCGCGUCUGAUUAGCUAGUUGGUGAGGUAAAAGCUCACCAAGGCGACGAUCAGUAGCUGGUCUGAGAGGAUGACCAGCCACACUGGGACUGAGACACGGCCCAGACUCCUACGGGAGGCAGCAGUGGGGAAUCUUGCGCAAUGGGCGAAAGCCUGACGCAGCCAUGCCGCGUGAAUGAUGAAGGUCUUAGGAUUGUAAAAUUCUUUCACCGGGGACGAUAAUGACGGUACCCGGAGAAGAAGCCCCGGCUAACUUCGUGCCAGCAGCCGCGGUAA